AUGUCAACAAGCAGCGAAUACUGUCUUUUUGAAUCACACCAGGCUAGCAACACCAAGAAGCACAGACAGGAAGAUAUUACAGAAAACUAUAAGUCCCACAGGGCAUCACCCUUCACACGGCAAAUCACAGCACAUUUACACCCUCCCUGGUUGCCUGGUGCAUCUACAGUUCACGGCGCGAUGCCGCUUCUACUCGACGCCCUCGGCGGAUCUCUGGAUGAGCACGGCAGCCAUGGUGAUGGCGGCGGCAUAGAUGGCAUUGGGCACCUUGUGCACUACCUUGCCGACGCCGGGGACGCCCUCGGUUGCCCUCUUGGUCGCCAGCGCCAGCGCAGGGGCGGCGACCAGCGUGAUGAUCAGCUUGAGGCUGAUCGCGCAGAGUGA
rnacentral:rRNA from 1 species